rnacentral:rRNA from 1 species
AGCGAACGCUGGCGGCAGGCUUAACACAUGCAAGUCGAGCGGGCAUCCUUGUGGUGUCAGCGGCAGACGGGUGAGUAACGCGUGGGAACGUGCCCUUCGGUUCGGAAUAACUCAGGGAAACUUGGGCUAAUACCGGAUACGUGCGAGAGCAGAAAGGUUUAUCUGACGAAGGAUCUGCCCGCGUCUGAUUAGCUAGUUGGUGAGGUUACGGCGCACCAAGGGGACGAUCAGUAGCUGGUCUGAGAGGAAGGUCAGCCACUCCGGGACUGAGCCACGGCCGGGACUCCUGCGGGAGGCAGCAGUGGGGAAUCUUGGACAGUGGGGUCAACCCUGAUCGAGCCCUGCCGCGUGAGUGAUGACGGCCUUAGGGUUGUAAAGCUCUUUUCUCCGGGACGAUAAUGACGUUACCGGAGGAAUAAGCCCCGGCUAACUUCGUG